rnacentral:tRNA from 1 species
UAUUCUGUGGCUUGGUUGGUUGAAGCACUGGUCUAGCUAACACGAAGUCGUGGGUUCGAAUCCCACCAGAGCAA